rnacentral:rRNA from 1 species
CCAAUAGCGUAUAUUAAAGUUGUUGCAGUUAAAAAGCUCGUAGUUGAACUUCAGGCCUGUCCAGACGGUCCGCCUUAUUGGUGUGUACUGUCCUUGGGUGGGUCCUACCUUCUGGCGAAGCGGCAUGGCUUUAAUUGGUCGUGUCGGGGAAGCAGAACUUUUACUGUGAAAAAAUUAGAGUGUUCAAAGCAGGCGAUAUAUGCUCGAAUACAUUAGCAUGGAAUAAUGGAAUAGGACAAUGGUUCUAUUUUGUUGGUUCUAGGACCGUUGUAAUGAUUAAUAGGGAUAGUUGGGGGCAUUAGUAUUCAAUUGUCAGAGGUGAAAUUCUUGGAUUUAUUGAAGACUAACUACUGCGAAAGCAUUUGCCAAGGAUGUUUUCAUUAAUCAAGAACGAAAGUUAGGGGAUCGAAGACGAUCAGAUACCGUCGUAGUCUUAACCAUAAACUAUGCCGACUAGGAAUCGGGCGAUGUUAUUAAAUGACUCGCUCGGCGCCUCAUG